GACGAACGCUGGCGGCGUGCUUAACACAUGCAAGUCGAACGCUGAACCCGCUUCGGUGGGGGAUGAGUGGCGAACGGGUGAGUAACACGUGGGCAACCUGCCCCCGGCUCUGGGAUAACUCCAAGAAAUUGGGGCUAAUACCGGAUGUGACCGCUGGCCGCAUGGUCUGGUGGUGGAAAGGGUUUCCGGCUGGGGAUGGGCCCACGGCCUAUCAGCUUGUUGGUGGGGUAGUGGCCUACCAAGGCGACGACGGGUAGCCGGCCUGAGAGGGUGACCGGCCACACUGGGACUGAGACACGGCCCAGACUCCUACGGGAGGCAGCAGUGGGGAAUAUUGCGCAAUGGGCGGAAGCCUGACGCAGCGACGCCGCGUGGGGGAUGACGGCCUUCGGGUUGUAAACCUCUUUCAGCAGGGACGAAGCGCAAGUGACGGUACCUGCAGAAGAAGCACCGGCCAACUACGU
rnacentral:rRNA from 1 species